rnacentral:lncRNA from 1 species
AUGAAAACAAUGUCCGCUCUAGCUCGUUGACAUUCAAUUGAAAGAACUGGCAAACAAAGGUAACAAAUAACUUUGAUACUCACGUAAUAUUCUCCAUGCAAAAUUUCACAAGAAAGCCACCACGCAGCAUCACAGAUCACAAAAGACGAAAUUCCCAAGGUGAUAUUGAACGCCACUUUAACUUCUACACUGAGGAGAAGGCACUCAAGACAGAUAUCCGUUCAUGUUGUCUGCAACUGAUUCUAGACGUUUCAGCACCUGGGCAUGCUGGACUGGACAGUGGAUUGCUGAAAGGGAAACACCCAUUUGGUAAGGUUUCGAUGGCCAUUGAUAAUUGGAGAGAAGCAUUGGAAUGCAACAGCUUGUCUGGCUUCGUCUGGACCUAAGUUACACCAAACAGAACACGGGAUCUAAACAAAUUUAAAUUCAGAUUUUUUAGCUCAUAAUUUCAGCUGAAGUUUUCGUGUGACCUAGGUGCUUGUGACAAUAGAAGUCAAGAUAAUAAUGCAAGCUAUGUCUUCCAAAGCAAAAUAGUUUCUGUCAUUUGAUUUUUAUGAUAAUAUUUCAGGUUAACUUCCCCUGUCAAAUCAUGACAGCAGCAAAUGAUGCUGCCACUCAAGAGGUUUUGGUGACCUCCAUUUAGUUCUAAUUUAGGACAUGUAACAUUGAUAGAUUUGAGGUUAAUCCCUCACACCACUCUUAGUUGUUUGGAAACUGAUGAGAGAUUGCUCAUUGCUGGAAUUGAAGACUGAUUAAUUGUGUAGUUGUUAGAUAAGUUACAAGUGCAUAUCUGGGCUCCCUUGUUUUCUGCGGCCCCGUUUCCAUAACUAAUCACUAAUCAACGGCCGCCGGUGGUCAGUCACUCGCUGCGACAACUAGGAGGAAGGGAGUGCGCUGGUCGAACGGUGACUUGCAAGGCGGAUGAUCUAAUGAAAACUGUUGGAGGGUUAUGAAUCUAAGCCGGAAAUCUACAAUGAUUAAUCGCUUCCAAGCAAAACUAGCUUCCCAUUCUUCUCUCUUCAAGUCAAUCAAUAUUUCCUUCCUGAUUGAAUGCAUAUGCAAGUGAUAACACAUUAACAAGCAGACAAAUUUACGUUAGGCCUUGAUAUGUUUACUCAGGUCAGAUUUGUUGUUACAAAAUGUUACAUUGUUGGUACACAAAAAUGUUAUUUGUUAUUAUAAUUUCAUACCUACCUUACCAAUCAAUAUUCAAUAUCAAUAUACCUCAACAUGAAUAAAUAUAAAUUUCCCACGAA